CUCAUUAAGACAGUAAGCUCUUUGAAGCUGGGGGUAGGGGUCUUAUCCAAUUCAUCACGGCGUAUUCGUGGCACAUAAUAUGGAAUGAAUGAACAGAUUGAUUUAGGAAAUAGAACCCACAAAACUCAGUGGCCAAUUGGAUGUGAAGGAGAGGGAAGGAGGAAUCUUGAGAGACUUCCAGGUUUUCUGGCCCAAGGAAUUGGGUCACCUACAGGAAUUGCUUCUCUUAGCAAGGCAUCGUCUCCUGUGCAAAGUCU
rnacentral:lncRNA from 1 species